AGAACACUGAUUUGCAGAAGCAAGUGCAGCACUUGCAGAAUGUGAAUGCCAGCGAUGGUCGCAGCCUCCCAGGUCUGGCCUCGGCCAGCAAGCCUGGGGACACUCUGGAGUCUAUUCUUAAGCAAAUGCGAGAGGCAGCUGACAAACGCAAGGAACUCGAAAGAGAACAUGCUGAGGCCCUCACACAGCUCCGAGAAAAACAGAAUGAAGCACAGAGGCUCACGAAACAGAGGGAUGCAUCUUCUAGAGAAA